UGCAUCCUCAUCAAAAUUCUUGGUCACAAAAGCUGGGUAAAUGAUUGAUGAGAAAGAAACUGGUGGUUGAUGGAAAUCAAAGGAAGAAGGCAGAGGGUUUGCAGGGAGAGAAGUUUCACUCGUCAACAAAGGACAGACUCCCCUACAGUCAACUGUGCAGCUCCACCUCAAGGCCUGUAUGCAUGCACUUGGCUAGAACGGGGCUUCUUCAGCAAUAAAUCAAGAGUGAAAGAACACGAAAUAAACCAUGUAAUUACACUUUUAAGUGACACCAGCACAGGAAUGCAAGAGAGCAAGGCAUGAGGUAAUGCUUCAUUUGGGUGAAAUCAGCUAGGCUUUCCAAUUUAA
rnacentral:lncRNA from 10 species